ACAAGGCACCAACACAAGACAAGGACAUGAAAUGAUAUGGCAUGCAUGCAUGCAAAGGAAGAGUAAACAAAGUGACAUCACAUGAAAUCACAAGCAUAGGAUAGCUCUCAUAUCAAUGACAAGUUGGACCCACAUGCAGAAGGUUCCAAAAAGGGAAAGAUACACUCUUGGGGCAUUACAGGAGUACAACAAAGGUCUCUAGUGGUUGAUGGUGGAAGCGGUUUGCGGGUCUCGAGCGUCUAUGAGACUCCAUUUCCCCAACAACAGUUGACCUGGUUAAUUCCUAUCUCGCACGGCUGCUAUCCUUGGUGACUAGGUUCCGGGGCUGUCGUCAUGAUGCUCCUCUCCAAAUACGGAAUCUGGCGAAGACAAUAGCCAGGGACAAGCCAGUGAGUACUUUGAAUGUACUCGCCAACAUCACGAAAACAGAUAUAAAAUAGCACGUGAUUAGUAUGCACUAAAAAAUAUUCAACGGUAUUUAGUCAGUCAAAAUAUAAAUUCAUCAAUGCAAGCAAGCAGAUGAUUUAUCCAUACCAAAAAAUUAAAUAAGCAAUCCUUUAAUGAAAAUAAAAUGGACAUCGGGCACUUAUCCCCGUGAAAUUCCAAGAACAAAAAGUAGUCCGAUCGGGUGUGUGAAGCGACACCUUGAAAGGAUAAAGAAAUAAAGCAUGUCAUAGUCGGGCGUCUGAGCGACACUACAUAAAGGGCUUAUAUGAGAUAAUAAAAUGUGUGCCACGGUCGGGCAUCUAAGCAACACCGCAUAAAGGGUUUGUAAUAUAAAUGAGUAAAUUAUAACAUGCAUGCCGCAGUCGGGCGUCUCAGCGACACCACAUAAAGGGCUUAUAAGAUGAUCAUAACAAUGAAUAUGAAGGGGGUAGAACCAUCCCAUGGAUAUUUAAGAUUCACAUACAAGAAGAGGUUAGUCCAUAUCAAUAUAAAUAUGAUCAUCCACCAUGAUUUACGAUUAUCCUCAUAGUUAAAUUAAUUUCCUCCGAAGACCGACACUGAGACCAACACUUGAUCUGUCCUAGACUGUAGAGCUUAACCGCGAACACGACUAUCUGAAUAGAUAUAAAGUAUGUAGAGGGUGUAGUCUUUACGCAUGAGUAACAGAUCUUUUUGUCAACCAGAGAUGUCAACUAAUUCUGAUUACGGUCAUUGAGUUGAAAACACACCUAACCUACACACACCAGUUUAACAUCCCAAUGCCUGGGAUCACCCACAACACUCGUUAUGUAAAACUCUAAGUGUGGAGACUCUAAAUCUCAAUUAGCAUGGGAUCAAAUUUAUAACACGUGCUACUACAGGGUGCCUCCUCUCGGCCCCACGUCAAAAACACCCAUGCCCCGGACCAAGUGGCAUGCCUACCAGAUGCAUCCCUGGUAUCUUCCAACGUGGCCUCUGUGUAUAGUGUGUGCCAAGAAAGGGGUUGAUGACUUACUUAACCUUACGCUACCCAUGGUAGGGACAAGUGGUAGUACAAAAAAGUAUGGGAGGUUAGUGGAACAAGACUCGAUCUACGGCCAACUCAGGAGGCUUAUGUAUUCCGUGCAUGGUUAGCACAACAAAUUUUCUUCACAAUUAUCUAAUAUUGUCACUCCUAUCAUGUCGCACCACGCGUCCACGGAUCCACCCUGUCACAAUGAGAUACCCAUCUUAGCAUCUGCAUGGGUGUCAUGAAGAGGUGACUACUGUCACAUGCAUUUCAUGUUUAACAAAAAUGGAGUUUUCAUCACAAACAACAUGCAUGAAAUAUCACCAUAUAAUUAUGCUCACUUCAUUACCAUAACCAUGUAAUCAAGCACCACCACAAUUUACCACUCAACCAAAUCAUAUCACUCUUCAAGAUGCAUGCCUUUAGUAUUCAGAAGGGUACGAUGUACCCCAAAACUUUGAAAGUUUUAAUCUUCCUUCCAUUUCCUAUUUUUUUAAAUAUUCAAAUUAACACAUAGUUCCAAAAUAGUACUGAACAAUUGUUUGAUUUUUUCUGAAAUCAAUACUAAAAAACUAGAGGAAAUAUGAAGAAGGUGGGAAAAAGAAUCAAAUCAUUUAGAGUUGUGGUUAAAAAGAUAGAGACAUUCAAAGUUGGGUCAAACUGCUAUUUUGUAAAUAAACUAGAAAAAAGAAAAUUCUUCACAUACAAAUACGCUUUCAAAGCAGAGAAAAUGUACCCAGACGGAACACGCCCCCACUUAAUCGGGCGGCUGCAACCUAUGGGUCACUGACAGUGGGUACGGCGGCCCCACCAAUGAGAUUUGAGUUGUCAAACACCACCUCUCUCCUGCGGCCGAACCGUGAAAAAGCUCCAGCGCUCCUCGCAGGCGAACGAGAGUAUAUCCAUGUGCUUGGGGCAUGGGGACGGGGUACAGUUGUCGCGACGAUCCUGUGGAGAUGUGCCACGCAUGCUGCAGUGGUCGAAGCUAUCGACGGUGAGGUCCAUAGCGGACGUCGACAUCGGCCAAAAUGGGACCAUCGCUUGCGACUUCCCUGUGGAGGAUUGGGGUGCAGGGGAGGGCUCUAGGUGGGUCUGGUGGCUCCUAGCUCCGAAGGCUCGAGGAAUGGUGGAGCGGUUGUGGCGAAUUUAGCAGAGAGUCUGCGGUGGUCGACCUCCACGGAGGUGGGGAAUAUGGGCGUCUCGCUAAAUCGAGUCCCACUAGUGGCCUUAGGGGGAUAGCACGAGGGUGCUUGGUCGAUUCUUGGAGCACUAGGGGGCUUAAAUACGUGGGGGAACGUCGGUUCCCACGGCGGCAGGGGAUAAUUUCGCCGACGCGGUUGCUCUGUAGCUAGGGGCAACGUGGCGAUGCUCAUGACUGAUGCAGGAGCUUGUAGACGAAGGGAGCACUCCUCCGUGGAUGAGCUGGCUGGCGGAUAGUUUCCAAGGCGGCUGCAAUGGCU
rnacentral:lncRNA from 1 species